AUCACUAAGCGGAGGAAAAGAAACUAACAAGGAUUCCCCUAGUAACGGCGAGUGAAGCGGGAAGAGCCCAGCACCGAAUCCCCUGCGCUCGCGCAGAGGGAGCUGUGGUGUUUGGGAGAGCCUCUGGUGCGGCUGCCACCGGUCCGAGUCUCCUUGAUCGGGGCCUUGCCCAUAGCGGGUGUCAGGCCUCUACGACCGGCGGCGCCGUGCCUCUGCGCCUCCCAGGAGUCGGGUUGUUUGAGAAUGCAGCCCAAAGCGGGUGGUAAACUCCAUCUAAGGCUAAAUACCGGCACGAGACCGAUAGUAGACAAGUACCGUGAGGGAAAGUU
rnacentral:rRNA from 1 species